GACGAACGCUGGCGGCGUGCUUGACACAUGCAAGUCGAACGGAAAGGCCCUGCUUGCAGGGUACUCGAGUGGCGAACGGGUGAGUAACACGUGGGUGAUCUGCCCUGCACUUCGGGAUAAGCCUGGGAAACUGGGUCUAAUACCGGAUAGGAGCCAUUUUUAGUGUGAUGGUUGGAAAGUUUUUUCGGUGUAGGAUGAGCUCGCGGCCUAUCAGCUUGUUGGUGGGGUAAUGGCCUACCAAGGCGGCGACGGGUAGCCGGCCUGAGAGGGUGGACGGCCACAUUGGGACUGAGAUACGGCCCAGACUCCUACGGGAGGCAGCAGUGGGGAAUAUUGCACAAUGGGCGCAAGCCUGAUGCAGCGACGCCGCGUGGGGGAGGACGGCCUUCGGGUUGUAAACUCCUUUCGCUAGGGACGAAGCUUUUUGUGACGGUACCUAGAUAAGAAGCACCGGCUAACUACGUG
rnacentral:rRNA from 1 species